UCUAGUAAUGUGAGUUGUAGCUAAUUAUUUAAGCACUCCAUUUACGCUGGAGGGAUUGCCCUGAGGCACUACUUAAAAAUUAAGUGUUAUUAUUUUAUAUUGGUUUGGGGUUAAAUUUUAUAAAAAAUUAAUAAGUUUUGUUUCUUAGUAUGAUGGAGAAUUUUGUUUAGAGAUUAUAGUUAAUAAGUACAGUGAUGGAAUUAUUUAAUAUUUUAUUAAAGUAGUGUUGAAUUUUCGUACCUUUUGUAUCAGGGGUCUACUAUAUAGUUGCGUUAUUUGUAAAUUCCCGAAACAGAGAGAGCUAAAUUUUAUUGCUUUUCUACGUUAUAAAGUAGUUUGAAAAAGUUUUUAGUGGUGAUAUGUUAGUCGGUCUUUGUAUAUCUGGUUCUUUACGAAAUGAGUUUAAUUUUGUACCAAGUUUAACUGUAAUUUGGUAAUAAAGGUAGGAGGAAUGAGCUUCUUAUCUGUUGUUUUUGUUAAGUACUUUUAUUGUAAGUCAUUAGAAGUGGGCUUAAAGUCAGCCAUCUUGGUAUAACGUUAAAGUAAUAAUGAUUUGUAUUUAUAUUUUUAAAGUAUCUUGCUGUUUUUAGUAAAGAAUUUCGUUUAUUGUUUAAGCGAAGAUAGAAUGUUUAUAUAAGUAAAAUUAGAGUUUUUUUUUAAUCUUAAAUAAAAUAAAGUUUUUAAGUAUUAGAAGGCGUUUAGAAGGAACUCGGCAAAUAUUAUCUCCGCCUGUUUAUCAAAAACAUGUCUGUGUGUAUAAGUUAUAAAGUCUAGCCUGCCCGCUGAUUGAUUUAAAGGGCCGCGGUAAUUUGACCGUGCGAAGGUAGCAUAGUCAGUAGUCUUUUAAUUGAAGGCUUGAAUGAAAGGUUGGACGAGGGAUGAGCUGUCUCCUUUAUGUAGUUUGAAUUUAACUUUUGAGUGAAAAGGCUCAAAUUAUUUAGUGGGACGAUAAGACCCUAUAAAACUUUAUAUAAGUUUAAUUUGGCUUACAAUUUGAGUGAAAAGUAGCUUUAUUAGGCUUAUAUUUCGUUGGGGAGAUGUAGAUAUAAUGUGUAACUGUCUAUUUAAUUUAAUAAUUAUAAUUAGUGUGUGAUCCUUCUUUGUGGAUUAAAAGUAUAAGUUACUUUAGGGAUAACAGCGUGAUUUUCUUUGAGAGUUCUUAUCGACAAGAGUAGUUGCGACCUCGAUGUUGAAUUAAAAUUUCAGUUA
rnacentral:rRNA from 1 species